rnacentral:rRNA from 1 species
AGAGUUUGAUCCUGGCUCAGAACGAACGCUGGCGGCAGGCCUAACACAUGCAAGUCGAACGGACCCUUCGGGGUCAGUGGCAGACGGGUGAGUAACGCGUGGGAAUCUACCCGGUUCUUCGGAAUAACCCAGGGAAACUUGGGCUAAUACCGGAUACGCCCUUAGGGGGAAAGAUUUAUCGGAAUUGGAUGAGCCCGCGUCGGAUUAGCUAGUUGGUGGGGUAAUGGCCUACCAAGGCGACGAUCCGUAGCUGGUCUGAGAGGAUGAUCAGCCACACUGGGACUGAGACACGGCCCAGACUCCUACGGGAGGCAGCAGUGGGGAAUAUUGGACAAUGGGCGCAAGCCUGAUCCAGCCAUGCCGCGUGAGUGAUGAAGGCCUUAGGGUUGUAAAGCUCUUUCAGCGGGGAAGAUAAUGACGGUACCCGCAGAAGAAGCCCCGGCUAACUUCGUGCCAGCAGCCGCGGUAAUACGAAGGGGGCUAGCGUUGUUCGGAAUUACUGGGCGUAAAGGGCGCGUAGGCGGACUGUUAAGUCAGGGGUGAAAUCCCGGGGCUCAACCCCGGAACUGCCUUUGAUACUGGCGGUCUUGAGUUUGGGAGAGGUGAGUGGAAUUCCGA